CCUGAACGCUGGCGGCGUGGCUAAGACAUGCAAGUCGCACGGUGUAGCAAUACACAGUGGCGAACGGGUGAGUAAUGAAUCGCUAAUGUACCCUGGACUCUGGGAUAGCUGACCGAAAGG
rnacentral:rRNA from 1 species